rnacentral:misc_RNA from 1 species
AUAUUAGUUUUGUAGACGCAAUCAGCAACUUGUAAGGAUACCAUCAAAAUGCCAGCAAAAGUGAGUACCUUUUUAAUGUAAAGCUGCUAUAAACUGUUGAAUCUGGAGUUUAUAAAUUCAUUUAUGAUUUAAAUAAAGUAAUGUGAAAUUCGGCAAAACUCUGUGCAUGAAGAGAGGUUUCUGUCAAUAUAUCAAUCAAUAGAUUAAAUCUAUAAGAAAACCCAGACCAAACAUUAGAAAAAGGAAGUCUGCGAUGCAUUUGACGGUGAAUGGAUUGUAUAAAGGUGAAUGACAUGCUAUAUUACAGGUAUAUGAGCAAAUAAUGAAAUUUGUGUAGAAGAGUUUUAUUAGAACAGCGCUUGCAACAAAUCUUGUUCUGAUAAACUUGAUGCC